CACCCCCCUCUUUCACUACGGAUCGUCGGGCACGUGCCUGCCCGUGAAAGGACCCCCAU
rfam:Micrococcus sp. HMSC067E09 Micrococcus_spHMPREF2863-1.0_Cont211.4, whole genome shotgun sequence.